rnacentral:rRNA from 1 species
AUUGAACGCUGGCGGCAUGCUUUACACAUGCAAGUCGAACGGCAGCGCGGGCUUCGGCCUGGCGGCGAGUGGCGAACGGGUGAGUAAUGCAUCGGAACGUGCCCAGUAGUGGGGGAUAGCCCGGCGAAAGCCGGAUUAAUACCGCAUACGGCCUGAGGGUGAAAGCGGGGGACCGAAAGGCCUCGCGCUAUUGGAGCGGCCGAUGUCGGAUUAGCUAGUUGGUGGGGUAAAGGCUUACCAAGGCGACGAUCCGUAGCUGAUCUGAGAGGACGACCAGCCACACUGGGACUGAGACACGGCCCAGACUCCUACGGGAGGCAGCAGUGGGGAAUUUUGGACAAUGGGGGCAACCCUGAUCCAGCCAUGCCGCGUGCGGGAAGAAGGCCUUCGGGUUGUAAACCGCUUUUGUUCGGGAAGAAAUCCUCUGGGCUAAUACCCCGGGGGGAUGACGGUACCGGAAGAAUAAGCACCGGCUAACUACGUG